rnacentral:rRNA from 1 species
AGUGAACGCUGGCGGUAGGCCUAACACAUGCAAGUCGAACGGCAGCAUAGUAAGAGCUUGCUCUUACGGGUGGCGAGUGGCGGACGGGUGAGGAAUACAUCGGAAUCUACUUUUUCGUGGGGGAUAACGUAGGGAAACUUACGCUAAUACCGCAUACGACCUACGGGUGAAAGCAGGGGAUCUUCGGACCUUGCGCGAUUGAAUGAGCCGAUGUCGGAUUAGCUAGUUGGCGGGGUAAAGGCCCACCAAGGCGACGAUCCGUAGCUGGUCUGAGAGGAUGAUCAGCCACACUGGAACUGAGACACGGUCCAGACUCCUACGGGAGGCAGCAGUGGGGAAUAUUGGACAAUGGGCGCAAGCCUGAUCCAGCCAUACCGCGUGGGUGAAGAGGGCCUUCGGGUUGUAAAGCCCUUUUGUUGGGAAAGAAAAGCAGCAGGUUAAUACCCCGCUGUUCUGACGGUACCCAAAGAAUAAGCACCGGCUAACUUCGUG